rnacentral:tRNA from 1 species
GCGGGAGUAUUUCAACUUUCAGAAUUCAUUCCUUCCCGGAAUGAGGUAUAGGUGUAAAUCCUAUCUUCCGCUCCA